AGUAUUGUUUGUGUUACAAAGGAAAUAUUACUGAUUUCUCCUCUAGUUCUGCGAUGAGAUUAAGUGCGGAUGCAAAUAACUUCAUGUUUGUGAGAUUGAUGUAAUGACAAAACAUGGUUUCACAUUAUUUUUAUUAUUCUCGGCCGUCGCUAGUACUAUAUGUAGACACGAACAAGAUUUCUGUGAGAGUGAGAGUUGCAAUGAACGAGAGUUUGAGCAGAAUCACUUCUAUACCAAUGUAAAAACAUAUGGAGAAAUAUCACUAACAUUAUCACAUAAACUUUUAGAUGCUCUCCCUUUUGAGGAGGUGGAUGGUCAUUUUACUCGUACUGUGAAGGGAUGUGUGUUUUCAGAGUGUCAGCCCACGCCUCUGAAACAGCCCCUGACACUGGCUGCUGUCUCACAGGAUGUGUUGAGGAAUAUGUUGGAUCUGAAUGAGUCUGUGAUUCAGAAUGAAGAAUUUGUUCUUUGUGUCAGUGGUGGAAAACUGUUUCCUGGCUCUAUUCCACUGGCACACAGAUACGGAGGCCAUCAGUUUGGUUAUUGGGCAGGGCAGCUGGGGGAUGGAAGAGCACAUUUGCUGGGUGAAUAUACAAACAGAAAAGGUGAAAGAUGGGAACUCCAGUUGAAAGGCUCAGGAAAGACACCGUACUCAAGGUCUGGUGAUGGACGGGCUGUGAUUCGCUCCUCUGUGAGGGAGUUCCUGUGCAGUGAAGCCAUGCAUUUUCUGGGGGUUCCCACAAGCAGAGCCCUCAGUCUGGUUGUAAGUGAGGAGCCUGUAUGGAGGGAUCAAUUGUAUAAUGGAAAUGUCAUAAAAGAAAGAGGAGCGGUUGUUUUGCGCCUGGCCAAGUCCUGGUUUCGUAUUGGUUCGCUGGAGAUAUUAACUAGAACUGGAGAGUUAGAUGUCCUGCGGACAUUAUUGGACUUUAUAAUUAAAGAGCAUUUUAAAUCUAUUGUGAUGAAUGACCCUGACAAGUAUGUGGUGUUUUUCUCUAUAGUGGUGAAUGAAACCGCACAUUUAAUCGCUCGCUGGAUGUCAGUUGGGUUUGCUCAUGGAGUAUGCAACACAGAUAACUUCAGUCUGCUUUCUAUCACUAUUGACUAUGGCCCAUUUGGAUUUAUGGAAUCAUAUGACCCAAAUUUUGUGCCCAACACAUCUGAUGAUGAGGGCCGGUACAGUAUAGGAGCUCAGGCUAAUGUGGGCCUGUUCAAUCUACAGAAACUUCUAGAAGCUCUGAAACCACUGCUGAAUUCAGACCAGCUGUCACAGUGUCAGCAAAUACUGAGAGAAUAUUUACAAACCUACCAUCAAAGAUUCCAUGAACUGUUCAAAGCAAAGUUAGGCUUUCUGGGAAAUCAAGAAAAGGAUUCAUAUGUGAUUGCAUUUCUUCUAAAGCUGAUGGAGGACACUGGAGCAGACUUCACCAUGACUUUCAGACAGCUGAGUGAAGUCACUCUGUCCCAGCUUCAGAUGGGCUCCAUUCCUCUGGUACAUUUCCACUCCAUUCACACCCACAGCAGCUGCAAUAUCCAUAAUCAUGAUUUCAGUCCAUUAACUGUGUCUCUUAACAGUCAAUGUGGGCUCUAUCAGACCUCUCAUCACAUGAGUAUUUCAGAGACUGGGUUCAGCUGUAUUUAAAGCGUCUGUCAAGGUAACAUUGCUGCAAUCUACACUUGCAUGCAUUAGAGUAUUGAAAUUAACAUCUCUUAAUGUUAAUCAUCUCUCAAAGGAUGAAAAGUGACUCAGAUGCAGCACGUCAGCAAAGAAUGCAAGGAGUCAACCCACGGUAUGUAUUGAGGAACUGGAUGGCUGAAUCUGCUAUCAGAAAAGCAGAGAAAAAUGACAUUUCAGAGGUGGCGCUGUUGCAGAAGACUCUAACAGAGCCGUUUGAGGAGCAGGAGGAGGCUGAGAGAGCCGGAUACUCUAGUAAACCUCCAUCCUGGGCUCAGCAGCUGAGGGUCAGCUGUUCUUCCUAAUCUAUUUUGCCAAUGUGUAGGUGAGGGUGUCGAUGCAGUGGAGGAGGCCUGGAUAGUGCGGUUAGCCCACGUUGCAGAGCCUGCAGCUUUCCUCACAGCAGACUUGUAGUUGUCAUAUAACUGCUUACCAUACUAUGAAAGAAAUCAUGACUGUCAUCAUUUACUGACUAUCAAGUUGUUCUAAAUCUGUUUCUUUCUUCUGUUGAACACAAAAUAAAAUAUUUUGAAUGUUGGUAACCAAAUAGAUGCUUGUAGCCAUUGACUUUUAUUUGAUUUUUGAUUUUUUUUUUUUCCCCAUACUAUGGAAGUCAAUGGGUACCAGCAACUGUUCAGUUACCAACAUUCUUCACAAUAUCUCCUUUUGUGUUCAGCAAAAGAAAGAAACUCAUACAGGUUUGGAACAACUUGAGGGUGAGUAAAUGAUUUCAUUUUUGGGUGAACUAUUCCUUUAAUACCCAACAAUAGAACCGAAUACAACAUAGCUGAAGUGUACAGUGUACAUAUUUGUAUUGUA